rnacentral:rRNA from 1 species
GUAGUUAAUAGCUGCAUUACUUGACGUUAGCGACAGAAGAAGCACCGGCUAACUCCGUGCCAGCAGCCGCGGUAAUACGGAGGGUGCGAGCGUUAAUCGGAAUUACUGGGCGUAAAGCGCAUGCAGGUGGUUUGUUAAGUCAGAUGUGAAAGCCCGGGGCUCAACCUCGGAAUAGCAUUUGAAACUGGCAGACUAGAGUACUGUAGAGGGGGGUAGAAUUUCAGGUGUAGCGGUGAAAUGCGUAGAGAUCUGAAGGAAUACCGGUGGCGAAGGCGGCCCCCUGGACAGAUACUGACACUCAGAUGCGAAAGCGUGGGGAGCAAACAGGAUUAGAUACCCUGGUAGUCCACGCCGUAAACGAUGUCUACUUGGAGGUUGUGGCCUUGAGCCGUGGCUUUCGGAGCUAACGCGUUAAGUAGACCGCCUGGGGAGUACGGUCGCAAGAUUAAAACUCAAAUGAAUUGACGGGGGCCCGCACAAGCGGUGGAGCAUGUGGUUUAAUUCGAUGCAACGCGAAGAACCUUACCUACUCUUGACAUCCAGAGAACUUUCCAGAGAUGGAUUGGUGCCUUCGGGAACUCUGAGACAGGUGCUGCAUGGCUGUCGUCAGCUCGUGUUGUGAAAUGUUGGGUUAAGUCCCGCAACGAGCGCAACCCUUAUCCUUGUUUGCCAGCGAGUAAUGUCGGGAACUCCAGGGAGACUGCCGGUGAUAAACCGGAGGAAGGUGGGGACGACGUCAAGUCAUCAUGGCCCUUACGAGUAGGGCUACACACGUGCUACAAUGGCGCAUACAGAGGGCAGCAAGCUAGCGAUAGUGAGCGAAUCCCAAAAAGUGCGUCGUAGUCCGGAUUGGAGUCUGCAACUCGACUCCAUGAAGUCGGAAUCGCUAGUAAUCGUGGAUCAGAAUGCCACGGUGAAUACGUUCCCGGGCCUUGUACACACCGCCCGUCACACCAUGGGAGUGGGCUGCAAAAGAAGUAGGUAGUU